rnacentral:piRNA from 1 species
UGGUUGUAGCUCACCUAUGGAAGGACAUGA